GAUGAAGAACGUAGCGAAAUGCGAUAAGUAAUGUGAAUUGCAGAAUUCAGUGAAUCAUCGAAUCUUUGAACGCACAUUGCGCCCAUUAGUAUUCUAGUGGGCAUGCCUGUUCGAGCGUCAUUAAGUCCACUUAAGCCCUGCUUAGUGUUGGGAGACUGCUCCAGCGGUGCUACCCUGUAGCUACCCUGCAGCUCCUCAAAGACAGCGGCGGAGUUGUGGUAUCCUCUGAGCUUAGUAACUUGUUCUAGCUUUCGAGUACACCACUUCCCCUGCCGUAAAACCCUUAAUUUUUAAUGGUUGACCUCGGAUCAGGUAGGAAUACUCGCUGAACUUAAGCAUAUCAAUAAGCGGAGGA
rnacentral:misc_RNA from 1 species